rnacentral:rRNA from 1 species
UACAGAGGUCCCAAGCGUUGUUCGGAUUCACUGGGCGUAAAGGGUGCGUAGGCGGUCGGGUAAGUCUGACGUGAAAUCUUCAAGCUCAACUUGGAAACUGCGUCGGAUACUAUUCGGCUAGAGGAAUGGAGGGGAGACUGGAAUACUUGGCGUAGCAGUGAAAUGCGUAGAUAUCAAGUGGAACACCAGUGGCGAAGGCGAGUCUCUGGACAUUUCCUGACGCUGAGGCACGAAAGCCAGGGGAGCAAACGGG